rnacentral:misc_RNA from 1 species
AAAGACUGCCACAUUCGGAAGAGUGUGGAUGGACGCAUGUCCCCACUUCCAUUUUUAAAAAAUUUCGUUUUGGUGUCUGUCCGAGAACAAGAGUAACACCGCUACUUGUGGCGUUUGUACAGUACUCCGGGGAGGGAUGAUGUUUGCGAAAUUGGCAUCCAGUGUGUGAAACGCAGCUUUUCAUCACAAUCAUCCUUAUCAUCAAAUUUAACGCAACCGAAUAAACUAAUCUUCCCUUUCCACUUAUAGAUUUUCAUUAUUCAUUACACUUGUUUUAUUUUAAAUUUUGGUGAAUUGAAAUUGGUAAGUUACAGAAUUGAUGGAU